rnacentral:sRNA from 1 species
UCGUAGCGUGCCAGCGGAUCCCACGCUCCC